rnacentral:rRNA from 1 species
CAGUCGCCGCGGUAAAACAGAGGGUGCAAGCGUUAAUCGGAAUUACUGGGCGUAAAGCGUGCGCAGGCGGUUCGUUAAGACAGAUGUGAAAUCCCCGGGCUUAACCUGGGAACUGCAUUUGUGACUGACGGGCUAGAGUAUGGCAGAGGGGGGUAGAAUUCCACGUGUAGCAGUGAAAUGCGUAGAGAUGUGGAGGAAUACCGAUGGCGAAGGCAGCCCCCUGGGCCAAUACUGACGCUCAUGCACGAAAGCGUGGGGAGCAAACAGGAUUAGAUACCCGAGUAGUCCCUGUCUCUUAUAC